rnacentral:lncRNA from 1 species
GAAAGAACAAAACUCCCCUGAUCAUGGUGGGAAUUGCCAAUUUUGGACUUUCAGGGAGAUCUCUUCCACCAUCGGAUCCAACAAAAAAGUCUUGAGGAGGAAUUGCUUCAGUCUCCAGAUUUGAUCAAGUAGGGAGAUGUCCUCCACGGCUGGAUCUAAGAAGAAUUGACUGUUGAUGAGCAGGUUCAGCUGGUGCAUAUUAAUCUUCAAGCUUUUGUGUAUACUGGCACCCUUGUCUUCCACUGUGGGUGUGUGUUGAUCAGACUCAUGUGUACCUCCUACAACAUGGUUAGUGCAAUAUGGCUCCACAGAAAUAACAUGCAUAGGUAUAACACCCAAUCUCAGUGUAAGAGGCUGAACCUCAGAUAUACCCUCAGAACAUGAA